rnacentral:rRNA from 1 species
UACGUAGGCAGCGAGCGUUGUUCGGAGUUACUGGGCGUAAAGCGUGCGUAGGCGGUGUCUUAAGUUUGUUGUGAAAUCUCCCGGCUUAACCGGGAGGGUGCGGCGAAUACUGAGAUGCUGGAGUGCCGGAGAGGUAAGCGGAAUUCCUGGUGUAGCGGUGAAAUGCGUAGAUAUCAGGAGGAACACCUGCGGUGUAGACGGCUUACUGGACGGUAACUGACGCUGAGGCACGAAAGCCAGGGGAGCAAACGGG